UACGUAGGGUGCGAGCGUUGUCCGGAAUCACUGGGCGUAAAGGGCGCGUAGGCGGCCUGAUAAGUAGGGGGUGAAAUCCUGCGGCUUAACCGCAGGGCUGCCUUCUAAACUGUUGGGCUAGAGCACGGUAGAGGCAGAUGGAAUUCCCGGUGUAGCGGUGGAAUGCGUAGAGAUCGGGAAGAACAUCAGUGGCGAAGGCGGUCUGCUGGGCCGUUGCUGACGCUGAGGCGCGACAGCGUGGGGAGCAAACAGG
rnacentral:rRNA from 1 species